rnacentral:lncRNA from 1 species
AUGCCGUGCAGACCCCGGGAGCCGGGCCAGGCCGUGCCGUGCAGACCCCGGGAGCCGGGCCGGGCCGUGCCGUGCGGGGCUCUCCCAGCAGCGGCGCUGGGGCUGCGGGUGCUGGUGCUGAGCGCGGCGCUGGGCGCGGUGGCCGCCCGGGCUCAGCCGCCCCCCUUCCCUUUCUGGGACCCCUCACUGCCUUGGCAGCGCCGCCUCGAUGACCUGCUGGGCCGGCUGAGCCCCGCCGAGCUGGUGCUGCAGGUGGCGAGGGGGGGAGCGAUGGGGAACGGCCCCGCGCCCCCCAUCCCGCGGCUGGGCAUCGCGCCCUACAACUGGAACACCGAGUGUCUGCGGGGCGACGGCGAGGCACCUGGAUGGGCCACGGCUUUCCCGCAGGCGUUGGGGCUCGCCGCCGCCUUCAGCCCAGAACUCAUCUAUCGUGUGGCCAACGCCACGGCCACCGAGGUGAGAGCCAAACACAACAGCUUUGCUGCUGCUGGACGCUACACUGACCACACCGGGCUCAGCUGCUUCAGCCCUGUCCUGAACAUCAUGAGGCACCCGCUGUGGGGGAGGAACCAGGAGACCUAUGGGGAGGACCCGUUCCUGAGUGGGGAGCUGGCCCGCAGCUUUGUGCAGGGGCUGCAGGGCCAGCACCCCCGUUACGUUAAGGCCAGCGCUGGCUGCAAACACUUCAGCGUGCACGGAGGCCCUGAGAACAUCCCUGUCUCCAGGCUAAGCUUCGAUGCCAAGGUGCUGGAGCGGGACUGGCGCAUGACCUUCCUGCCCCAGUUCCAGGCCUGCGUGCGGGCUGGCUCCUACAGCUUCAUGUGCAGCUACAACAGGAUCAACGGUGUCCCCGCUUGUGCCAACAAGAAGCUGCUGACGGACAUCCUGCGUGGCGAGUGGGGCUUUGAUGGCUACGUGGUGAGCGAUGAGGGGGCUGUGGAGCUCAUCAUGCUAGGGCACCACUACACACACAGCUUCCUGGAGACAGCAGUUGCCUCGGUGAAUGCUGGCUGCAACCUGGAGCUCUCCUAUGGCAUGAGGAACAACGUGUUCAUGCGCAUCCCUCAGGCUCUGGCCAUGGGCAACAUCACGCUGCAGAUGCUGCGUGACCGAGUCCGGCCCCUCUUCUACACACGGAUGCGGUUGGGGGAGUUUGACCCCCCAGCCAUGAACCCCUACAGCUCCCUGGACCUGAGUGUGGUGCAGAGCCCCGAGCACCGCAACCUCUCGUUGGAAGCUGCUGUCAAGAGCUUUGUGCUGCUGAAGAAUGUGCGGAGGACACUGCCCCUGCAGGCCCAGGACCUCUCCAGCCAGCACCUCGCGGUUGUUGGUCCCUUUGCUGACAAUCCCCGGGUACUGUUUGGGGACUAUGCACCAGUGCCGGAGCCUCAGUACAUCUACACUCCCCGGAGGGGGCUGGAGAUGCUGGGGGCCAAUGUCAGCUUUGCAGCGGGCUGCAGCGAGCCACGGUGCAAGCAGUACUCACGGGCAGAGCUGGUGAGGGUGGUGGGGGCAGCUGACGUGGUGCUGGUCUGCCUGGGCACAGGGGUAGAUGUGGAGACGGAGGCAAAAGACCGGAGUGACCUGUCCCUGCCGGGGCACCAGCUGGAGCUGCUGCAGGAUGCUGUGCAGGCAGCCGCUGGGCGCCCCGUCAUUCUGCUGCUGUUCAACGCGGGGCCCCUGGACGUGAGCUGGGCUCAGGCACACGACGGCGUGGGGGCCAUCCUGGCCUGCUUCUUCCCUGCCCAGGCCACGGGCUUGGCCAUUGCCAGGGUCCUGCUGGGCGAGGCAGGGGCCAGCCCAGCUGGUCGGCUGCCGGCCACUUGGCCUGCAGGCAUGCACCAGGUGCCACCAAUGGAGAACUACACCACCUUCCGCUAUCGGGACCUGGUGCUGAGCCCCCCAGUGCUGCCCGUCUGUGCCAACCUCUCUGUGUCUGUGGUGCUGGAGAACACGGGGCUGCGGGACAGCGAGGAGGUGGUGCAGCUGUACCUGCGCUGGGAGCACUCAUCUGUGCCGGUGCCGCGCUGGCAGCUGGUGGCUUUCCGCCGUGUGGCCGUGCUGGCGGGCCGGGAGGUGAAGCUGUUCUUCCAGGUGCUGGCCGAGCAGCGCGCUGUCUGGGCGCAGGACUGGCACCUGGAGCCUGGCACCUUCACCCUGUUCGCCGGAGGGCAGCAGCCGGCCCAGAAGACACGGGCGCCCUCGGAGGUGCUGAGUGCCCGGUUCAGUGUCACCGGCACGGCACGGCCCUUACGCUCGUGUUAGCGGCGGGGUGGGCACAGGGUGCUGGCAGAGGAAGGGAUGGAAGGAACCCCGUGAGCCGCGGGCAGUGUGGUGCUUCUCUGCCCUGCAAUAAAGUGCUGGUGCUCCGUGGCA